rnacentral:rRNA from 1 species
CCCCUAGAUGUUCUGGGCCGCACGCGCGCUACACUGAACAGUUCAACAAGUCUUAACCUUGGCCGAUAGGUCUGGGUAAUCUUUGAACGCUGUUCGUGAUUGGGAUAGACCUUUGCAAUUAUGGGUCUUCAACGAGGAAUUCCUAGUAAACGCAAGUCAUCAGCUUGCAUUGAUUACGUCCCUGCCCUUUGUACACACCGCCCGUCGCACCUACCGAUUGAAUGGUCCGGUGAAAUCUUCGGAUAGCUGGUAGUUGGCUUGCCAUCUGCUGCUAAAAGUUGCUUAAACCUUAUCAUCUAGAGGAACAAGAAGUCGUAACA